rnacentral:rRNA from 1 species
CAAUAGCGUAUAUUAAAGUUGUUGCAGUUAAAAAGCUCGUAGUUGGAUUUCUGGUCGGAAGCUCCUGUCCUCUGAUGGGCGUACAAGUGCGUCCUACCAUCCUUCUGUUAACCUUUAAGGCUUUCGCGGCUUUCUAGGGGCUCAGAUAUUUUACCUUGAGAAAAUUAGAGUGUUUCAGGCAGGCUAGCGCCGGAAUACAUUAGCAUGGAAUAAUGGAAUAGGACUUUUGCCUCUUCUGUUGGUCAUGAGGCUCGAGUAAUGAUUAAUAGGGAUAGUUGGGGGCAUUAGUACUUAACUGUCAGAGGUGAAAUUCUCGGAUUUGUUAAAGACUAACUUAUGCGAAAGCAUUUGCCAAGGAUGUUUNCAUUAA